rnacentral:rRNA from 1 species
CGUGUAGGCGGUUUGGUAAGUCUGAUGUGAAAGCCCUGGGCUCAACCCGGGAAGUGCAUUGGAAACUGUCAGACUUGAAUACGGGAGAGGGCAGUGGAAUUCCUGGUGUAGGAGUGAAAUCCGUAGAUAUCAGGAGGAACACCGGUGGCGAAGGCGGCUGCCUGGACCGAUAUUGACGCUGAGACGACGAAAGCGUGGGUAGCAAACAGGAUUAGAUACCCUGGUAGUCCACGCCGUAAACGAUGAGUACUAGGUGUUGCGGGUAUUGACCCCUGCAGUGCCGCAGCCUAACGCAUUAAGUACUCCGCCUGGGAAGUACGGUCGCAAGACUAAA